AGAUAGCUGAGAUGAGAACCAGAGAUGCACGUUCCUCUUGAAGCCCGAAGAGGAGAGUCUCAACAAGGAAGAAAUGUUACCCAUGUUGUAAAGCUGAAUACCUGAAAUAAGGGCAUCAAAUAUAUUGAUUUGAGGUGACAAGAACAUUCCAGAGGACAUUGCUGGCAUUGUGACCCAAUUGACUCCUGCUAAAUUGCUUGCUAUACUACCAUGAUGUCCAACCAUGAUACGAUGAAGGAAUUGCCAGAUUGGAGAGUAGACCACAGCAUGUGGUACUGUCUACCAUUCCAAGGAGGGGUCAGGGGCAACCAUGCCCUCCAGGGAGCUGCUGGCCAUCAUUCAUCAUAAAACCAAUUUAAAAACCACUGUGGACUGCUCCCAAAGGCCAUCCAGUUGAAAUAAGCACAGAAAUGUUAUGGGCCCAUCUCCAGUAGCUAGCUGGAAGAAAUAGCUUUUUCAAGGUCUUUAGUACAUAAUCUUAUUCACCCAGAAGAAAAAUACAAGCAUGACCUAUGGCAAACCCAAUCCUUAAGUUUUGCUCAGGUAAACGAUUUA